AGUGAGUCUACUUGUGACUAAAGAAAUAAAAAAUGAUUGUUGGAAGAGUGAAAUAAAGGUGAAAAAAUUGAUUUUUUGAUAAAAAAUUACUACCAAGUUUAACUUCGCUAGACUUUUUUGAUGUUGACGAUCCUAAAAGUUUCACUACGAACACCAACUCAUUCAAAGGCAUCAAGGUUUUUUUGCGUGCAGAUGACUGAAAGGGUUUGUUAUAAACUUAGAUAUUAUUCUUAAAAUUCGGGUUCGAACUGUUUUUUUUAAUUGUUAAGAUAUGCUGUGACUGUUUUUUAUGUUUGGAUAAUUUUCUAUGUUACUAGUUGUUUGUUUCUGUGUUACUGGCUGUUUGAACGAGAGUAUUUUCUGGGAUUUUUGAAUAUUUUGUUGUUAUUGGAUGCUUUGAGUCUAGGUUUGAUUAUUUUGUAAAGUUUUAGAGACUCCGUGAUCUUUAAUUUUACCCACUCUUGGUAGAAAUGGAAAUGUGGAUUCCUUUUUUUGCUUGUCUGAUUUUCAUAUGGGUAUCGUGUUUUGUCGGAUUCUUGAUUUCAAAGUAAUGCACCUGUUAAUUUUGAUUAAUUUUCUCUAAUGAAUUCUUAUUUCUGGGAUACUCUUUUCAUUCAAAAUGGGAUAUUUUUUUUCUUUCCCUUCUUAGUAAAUAAUAUAUUUAAUAUCUCACACUGUAAUUUCUAAGUUACUGGGUAAAUGAUGUUUUCUAUUAUUGGAUCUGGUAAGUUCCUAGCCAUGGUUAACUAUGGAGUCUUAACCGUGCGUGUAUUUGAUCAUUUAUUGAACUAAGUUUUGCUGGCGCUUGCAAUGGCUCUAGAUUCUUCUACUGUUUCUUUUAUUUCUUUAGUUUCAAGGUUUGGUUGCCAAUCGAUUUCAAUGAUCAUACAUAGUUGUUCCCGUAUCUACGGUUGGUGCAUUAGCAAUUUGUAUUGAUGUAUUAGAUGCUAAAUUGUAAUCUAGGUAAAAAGGAUGAUUGGGUUUGAUUUCCUGGUCCUUAUAUCUGUUACUUGAGAUACAUUUUUAUUUAGUUGAUAUAACACGGGCAUAUGAGGAUGACGUAUCAUUUAUUAACUUACAUAUUUAUUUUUAUUUUUUAUUUUUUAUUUUUUAUUUUUUAAGUUUUAAGUGGCACACCCUACUCUUGUUAUUUAUGGAGUGAAUUCACAUUUCCUACCAAUAAGUGACAAUUUCAAAACUAAUUUACAAACAUAUGCUAAUUAUUAGUACCAGCAAGAUCCAUUUGAUCGUGUAUCGAUCUUCUUUUAAAUCAACAUGUGAUUUGUCUCCAUGUGCUAUCGUCCUUUCAUC
rnacentral:lncRNA from 1 species